rnacentral:tRNA from 1 species
GCCCGCUUAGCUCAGUGGUAGAGCGCAUCACUUGUAGAUCGGAAUGUCUCCGCGAUGAUGAGGUCGGUUGUUCAAUCCAGCCAGUGGGCA